rnacentral:rRNA from 1 species
UACGAAGGGUGCAAGCGUUAAUCGGAAUUACUGGGCGUAAAGCGUGCGUAGGCGGUUGUUAAGUCUGCUGUGAAAUCCCCGGGCUCAACCUGGGAAUGGCAGUGGGAUACUGGGCAGCUAGAGUGUGAUAGAGGCAGAUGGAAUUCCCGGUGUAGCGGUGGAAUGCGUAGAGAUCGGGAAGAACAUCAGUGGCGAAGGCGGUCUGCUGGGCCGUUGCUGACGCUGAGGCGCGACAGCGUGGGGAGCAAACAGG